rnacentral:rRNA from 1 species
UACGUAGGUGGCAAGCGUUAUCCGGAUUUAUUGGGCGUAAAGCGAGCGCAGGCGGUUUUUUAAGUCUGAUGUGAAAGCCUUCGGCUUAACCGAAGAAGUGCAUCGGAAACUGGAAAACUUGAGUGCAGAAGAGGACAGUGGAACUCCAUGUGUAGCGGUGAAAUGCGUAGAUAUAUGGAAGAACACCAGUGGCGAAGGCGGCUGUCUGGUCUGUAACUGACGCUGAGGCGCGAAAGCGUGGGGAGCAAACAGG